rnacentral:rRNA from 1 species
AUUGAACGCUGGCGGCAGGCCUAACACAUGCAAGUCGAACGAGUGGCGGACGGGGGGGUAAUAUCUGGGAACCUGCCUGAGGGAGGGGGAUAACUACUGGAACCGAUAGCUAAUACCGAAUAGCAUGGGAUGUGCCCAGAUGGGAUGGGCUAGUGGGUGGGGUAAAGGCUUACCUAGGCGACGAUCCCUAGCUGGGCUGAGGGGAUGACAAGCCACACUGGAACUGAGACACGGUCCAUGCUCCUACGGGAGGCAGCAGUGGGGAAUAUUGCACAAUGGGCGCAAGCCUGACGCAGCCAUGCCGCGUGUAUGAAGAAGGCCUUCGGUUUGUAAAGUACUUUCAGGGGGGAGGCGUUACCCGCAGAAGAAGCACCGGCUAACUCCGUGCCAGCAGCCGCGGUAAUUC